ensembl:lncRNA
AUCUUGCUUGAUAGGGAUAGCACUUGAGCUUUGCUGGCUGUUGGAGGUGGUGAGGGAUUUGAAGAUGCCACUGAAGCAAGUCAGGAGGUUGAGAUUGCACCACACCACAACGAAGCAGCGCGAGGUCUUUUACCUGUGAACUGAAAUGUGGCUGUACCAUAGCUUGCAGAUGUGGUAUGAUAAAUAGAAUUUGGCAGCAGUACUCACCUUUCUCUUACGUCAGCUUAUCUGAAAACCUGUCAAAAAGAAAUUACCUGAAAGGGGAUUCUGCCUUGAAAAGGAAGACUACGUGCAGGAGGAGAUGCAUAAUCAAGAUUCUAAGAUUCUAAGCCCUUUCACGAGACAAAGCUGGAGAACCUUGACAGGCCUAGAUGGCAUAUGAUGAAAUUUGGAAGGAAAGAAAAACAGCUAAGAAGUUGGGUAGCUUUCAGAAUUCCCUACAAACAUGCUGCAGUUGUGACACUGACUGUUCUUUUAGGUCAGCAACGACAGUCAUACUCCUUCACUGGAACAAAAUCAGAGCUGAAGCCUUGUCCUGUGACUAAUGGGGAAGCAAGUGUGAGCUGCAAGACCCGGUGUCUCUGCUCUUGCAGCCUAUCAAGAAAAAUCAAAGUGACUCAUGCAAACAGCCCGCAGUCACAGAAGAACGAUCCCAACUGGUCCUCUGCAUCUCGCAAAGCUGUGUCCCACAGGGUGUAAGUAACGCCCAAAUGUACUGGCCAUGCUGCAUUCCUGACAUGCUGCUUCUCCCUCCGUGCCUGGGCGCUGUGUGCCGCUAAGCAGCACUUCCCAGCUACAGGAAGGCUGGCGGAGGGCAUUCCUCUCCAGGUUAUUCUGUGCUUUUGGUGCUUCAGGAACAUGCUUAGUGUUUGGGGAGCCUCAUGCGUUGCUGUCAUCAGCUCUUAUUUGGGCAUGUGCCAAAUAUCUUGUUUGAGCACUGGCUUUCUCUGAUUCUUGGGGUACCAUUUCAGGAGGAAUCUGAGAGGAGCUUUGUUCCUGGCUAGAUCGUGUUCAUGGGACUGAAGGAUGACCACGCUGCAAGGAACUUGGUGUGGGGAUGGUAUCAGGGGAAGUUCAGUACUGAGAGAGUGGUGAGGUGCUG